rnacentral:rRNA from 1 species
CAGUAGCGUAUAUUAAUGUUGUUGCAGUUAAAAAGCUCGUAGUUGGAUUUCUGACUUGACGCGCCUGGCCCGCCUUGCAUUUCGCGGGUGAGUGCCGGAGCGCGUCGGUCAUCCUUCUAGAGAACGGCGCUACCCUUCACUGGGUCGGCGUCGCAAUCUAGAUCUUUUACUUUGAAAAAUUAGAGUGUUCAAGGCAGGCUCGCGCUGUGAAUACAUUAGCAUGGAAUAAUAAUCUAGGACUUUGUUCCUAUUUUGUUGGUUUCUAGGAAUUAAGUAAUGAUUGAUAGGGAUAGUUGGGGGUGCUAGUAUUCAGCGGCCAGAGGUGAAAUUCUUGGAUUCGCUGAAGACUAACUUAUGCGAAAGCAUUCACCAAGGAUGUCUUCUUUAAUCAAGAACGAAAGUUGGGGGAUCGAAGACGAUCAGAUACCAU